GAGGAGAAACAUAAAAAAACGGCGCAGCGCAGUUCAUUUCAUACUACAUUCACUAAUUUUUCCCAUUUCUGGCCAAAUAUCGUCGGCAAAAGUUAACGCGGUGUGAGUAUAUUGUUCGCCGCCCUUUGGUCGGCCAUUUUUUAAUUUUGUUUACAAUGAAAAUUCACUUCAUUUACCAACCAAAAAUUAUCACGGAAUUUGAGGAAAAGAAAAGCAAAAAUUAAGGUUUAAUUAAUUGCCUAAAAAGUGAAUGAAAAUGUCAUCGAAUUCACCUCCAAAUUCGGACACUGAAGAUAGCCGCGGAUCACCAUCAAAAUGGAGUCGAAAUCCGUUGCAGUUAACUUUGCUUGGAGUCGGCGGCGUUGGCAAGCGAAAAAGUGCUUUUCUACCAUACCGGCCCCAAGUUAGUCCCGCUAACAAUAUCCCUGUUAUAAGUGUCGUUUCAUCUUCCAGCGCCACCUCUCCCUCUACUUGCAAUUUUACUGCUAAGAACAGCACGCCGCCAUCCACGGUUUCGUCAAAAUCAAAUUCCACGGUUUUGACAAAUCUUCAGCGUGGAAAUACGGCGGCAACUUUCUGCUCAAGCGACGUCCAAUUGAGUUUCCACGAACGCGCCGGCCAAGGCGAACUCUCUGAAGAACAAGUGAAGGCCGCGAUGGCAUCGAAGACCAUCGAUUCCACAGACAAAAAUGGCUUCACUGCCCUGCAUUGGGCGUGUCACUAUGGUCAAGUGGCAACUGUGGGACAACUGCUUGCUACCCGGGUUGUAGACGUGAGUAAAUUGGCACCGGAUAUGGUGACUCCGCUAUUGUUGGCUGCAGCGGGUGGUCAUCAUGAAGUUGUACGACUUCUACUUCAGCAUGGGGCCGACGCUCGGCACGCUGACAUUGUCGGUAACACACCUCUUAUGUACGCCGCCGCUGGUAAUCAUCCUCAUACCUGCAACGAACUGCUUUCCAAGGAUCCCGAUCCAACGGCAACGAACGAGCAUGGCGAUACCGCUUACAGCUUAGCCAUGGAAAAUGGUGCCAACUUAUCGCAAGCCGUUCUGGAGCAUUACUUGACCGCUUUAUUGUCCAUUUAGAAAAGAUUUGACACAAAAAUCAUUGACCAACAUAAUUUAAAUGCCUCAGAGAAAAAGAAAAAAAAAAGAUCUCGACUAAAUACUACUACUGGCAAAUGUUUCGAUUUUUUUUACUACAACUACUAGGAAUACUAUACGCAACGACGGCACCGCGCAACCUCAAUAAAUUCUAGUGUGUUGUUGAAACCAAAAAGCAAAAAAGUUAGAGAAACAAACACCAAUAAUGAAUUAAAAAACUGCUAGAAUAGGAUGGAUUGCUGGUUAUUUGAGAGUGGUAAGGAGAAGAAGAAGAAGAAGAGGUGGUGGUAAUGGUAAAAGUUGUGGUCGGUGGAGCAGGUGAUAGGGCAGAGUAGUGGGUAUGUGGACUGGCAGCGCUGCAUUCCAUUCGAAAUUCUUUCCACCUUGCGAAACGAUGAUGUGUGAUGAGUUAAGUUAUGGAAUCGAAGAUAGGGCGGCAUUAAGAAAAAACGUAACAAGAAAAAAAACUACACGGAGGAGGGGAUGAGGGAUUAGAGAGGAAAACAUAUCGCGCUGAUGCGUAGCUGUGGUCACGUAAACGGAAUUAAUACAGGUAAAAAUUUGGUAUCGAAGGAUUAUUGACUGAUCAUUUUGGUGGUAAUAGUAGCUGUUGACGGUGUUUGCUUUAUGAAUUGUUAACUAUUUAUUUUUUAAGUGAUAUACACGUUUUAUGUUUACUAUUUAUAAAAAUAAAUAAUAUUCUUUUAUAAGUAA